rnacentral:rRNA from 1 species
AAGCGACUAAGCGUACACGGUGGAUGCCCUGGCAGUCAGAGGCGAUGAAGGACGUGCUAAUCUGCGAUAAGCGUCGGUGAGGUGAUAUGAACCGUUAUAACCGGCGAUUUCCGAAUGGGGAAACCCAGUGUGUUUCGACACACUAUCAUUAACUGAAUCCAUAGGUUAAUGAGGCGAACCGGGGGAACUGAAACAUCUAAGUACCCCGAGGAAAAGAAAUCAACCGAGAUUCCCCCAGUAGCGGCGAGCGAACGGGGAGGAGCCCAGAGCCUGAAUCAGUGUGUGUGUUAGUGGAAGCGUCUGGAAAGGCGUGCGAUACAGGGUGACAGCCCCGUACACAAAAAUGCACAUACUGUGAGCUCGAUGAGUAGGGCGGGACACGUGGUAUCCUGUCUGAAUAUGGGGGGACCAUCCUCCAAGGCUAAAUACUCCUGACUGACCGAUAGUGAACCAGUACCGUGAGGGAAAGGCGAAAAGAACCCCGGCGAGGGGAGUGAAAAAGAACCUGAAACCGUGUACGUACAAGCAGUGGGAGCCUCUUAAUGGGGUGACUGCGUACCUUUUGUAUAAUGGGUCAGCGACUUAUAUUCUGUAGCAAGGUUAACCGAAUAGGGGAGCCGAAGGGAAACCGAGUCUUAACUGGGCGUUAAGUUGCAGGGUAUAGACCCGAAACCCGGUGAUCUAGCCAUGGGCAGGUUGAAGGUUGGGUAACACUAACUGGAGGACCGAACCGACUAAUGUUGAAAAAUUAGCGGAUGACUUGUGGCUGGGGGUGAAAGGCCAAUCAAACCGGGAGAUAGCUGGUUCUCCCCGAAAGCUAUUUAGGUAGCGCCUCGUGAAUUCAUCUCCGGGGGUAGAGCACUGUUUCGGCAAGGGGGUCAUCCCGACUUACCAACCCGAUGCAAACUGCGAAUACCGGAGAAUGUUAUCACGGGAGACACACGGCGGGUGCUAACGUCCGUCGUGAAGAGGGAAACAACCCAGACCGCCAGCUAAGGUCCCAAAGUCAUGGUUAAGUGGGAAACGAUGUGGGAAGGCCCAGACAGCCAGGAUGUUGGCUUAGAAGCAGCCAUCAUUUAAAGAAAGCGUAAUAGCUCACUGGUCGAGUCGGCCUGCGCGGAAGAUGUAACGGGGCUAAACCAUGCACCGAAGCUGCGGCAGCGACACUAUGUGUUGUUGGGUAGGGGAGCG